rnacentral:snRNA from 1 species
GUGCUCACUUUGGCAGCAAAUAUAUUAAAAUUGGAAAGAUACAGAGAAGAUUAGCAUGGCCCGCGGGGAAGGGUAACAUGCAAAUUUGUGAAGUGUUCCAUAUUUAU